rnacentral:rRNA from 1 species
AUACGGAGGAUCCGAGCGUUAUCCGGAUUUAUUGGGUUUAAAGGGUGCGCAGGCGGGAGAUUAAGUCGGCGGUGAAAUUUUGCAGCUCAACUGUAAAAGUGCCUUCGAAACUGGUUUUCUUGAGUGUAGAUGAAGUAGGCGGGAUUUGUGGUGUAGCGGGGGAAUGCAUAGAUAUCACGAGGAACUCCGAUUGCGCAGGCAGCUUACUAAACUACUACUGACGCUCAGGCACGAAGGCGUGGGGAUCAAACAGGAUUAGAUACCCUGGUAGUCCACGCAGUAAACGAUGAUUACUAGCUGUUUGCGAUACAAUGUAAGCGGCUGAGCGAAAGCGUUAAGUAAUCCACCUGGGGAGUACGUUCGCAAGAAUGAAACUCAAAUGAAUUGACGGGG